UUGUCUGAAAAGUGAAAUUCACUCUGAUGAAAAGAGAAUCCUACUCUGCCUGUUAACUGUACAAUAACUUAUGAUCUCUUUAUCUUAUUUAUUCUGGCUUUUAAAUGGUCCUUUUGUUUAGGAAUAAUGAUAAUAUUGUUGACAUCCCAAUGAUGUCCCUUCUAGGAGCCACCAUGGUGACAUGGAGAGAAUAAGCACAUUUCUUCUGCAUUGGGUAAAUGAGUAAAUACUGCAUAGGGAUGACUUCAUUGCCUGGGAUGAUGGAAGACUGGAAGAAGUGGAAAAUACCAACUAUAAUCUUUAAAGUUUCUCUAGCUCUUCUUGACUGUCUCUUAGGCACACAAUGAACUGAAUGGAGAACUGAAAAAAAGAAUAAGGCUACAAACAAUAUCAGAACAAGACAAUGGCGUCUACAAUUGGGAGAACUGUGUAUCAGAUUAGAGGCCUAAGGAAGAAACAAGAAGAUAGAAGGCAACUCAGUGAAAAACCACAAACAGGAAUUUUGAAAGAACAAAGCUGAAAGGCAGAGACUGGCCCAGUUUCCCUCUGGGGUAUUUGCAAUUUUAAUGCUUUGUGUGUAGUUGAAGUAAUCUUUCUUUAGUUCAGAGCUUUAUUAAUACCAUGAAUUUUCUGGGAAUUAAUGAAAUUCAUACCACAUGGCAAGUACUACAUAAAGCUUACCAAAGCAAAAGUUCACUCAUUACACAAAAUAUUGUAGAGUUCUAUAAAUUUUCCAGUUCCCAUUGGCUCAGGAAUUGAGAAGAACAAUAAUGGUAACAGCAAAGAGAAAAGCUUGUGACGCUGAGGUCACAUUCUGAGCUAUCUUUCCUGGGGUACUAGUCUUCCUUCAGUCUCUGCUUCAAGGUCAACUUAAGCACAGAAUUUCUUUCAAAGUGACUAUUAAACUACUUUUCUCUGUAAUGUUCUCCAGAAGGCCUGGCCUGUAUUCUUCAGGAUGGAGACUGAUUUCUUUCUAUCUGAGAGAACCUGAAUUACCCUGACUCUCAUCUUAGGACAUCUUAUUCUCUUACCAUCUGUGUCUGGGUUCUGCCUAAGCAGCAGAGAUGCUCUGUGAUCUCCUUAUUGUCUUGGGAAAGAGUAAAUGAAUGGAACUAUUAAGUAUAGAGUGCCAUCAAUAGGAAUAUGGAAUUUAUAGAAUUUUUGUUAUAACACCAGAGAUAACAGUCUCAAAUUCAGCCAUUUAGUUUAUAGUCAGAACCAGAUUUUAUAUUUAACAUCAGAAAACUGUGAAGGAAGCAUCUAUGAUAGGUAAAUAUAAAUUUUAAAGCCUCACAUGAGGAAAAUUAUAUCAUAGGGCAUCUUUAAUGCUGGCUACACAAUAUAUAAAACACCAAAUCAAGAAAUAAAUGAAUGAACUCUCAUGCGGAUAAGAACAUAGAAAGUAGUGUUUCACACAACAGAAGGUGAAGUAAAACUGUUUAUUAUAUUUACAUUGAGACUCAUGAAUGGAUUGAAAGUAUUCCCAAUACAUACUUGACUUGAUGCUCCAAUUUUAAAAUUUAUCUGUUUAACAUUCAUGUAAAUUUCAAUUAAAAAAAA